CAGGGUUAGCAUCACCGUCACUCCUAUCCCUGGACCUCGGCCGCCACGGGGAAGAAGGUGGAGGCACCACUCAUGAAGGACCUGAGAGAAAUUCUGGAAGACCUGACUGAGAAGUUCAAGGAGAAGCUUCUUGACAGUGACCCAGAGGAUCCCCGAGGCAGCGCGCCCCUCUCCCUGCAGGCCACGCUGGAGAUCCAGGAGGAGGCCGGGGGGCGCCGCCGAGGGUCCUGGCAGCUCGUCUUCCGUGGAAGCGUCUCCCUGCGCCUGGACUUGGGUACCAGAGCCUGGACGGCGGGUCGCCCUGGAGACAGGUGGAUGCUGGAGAAGUGGGGGGAGGACACGGACAUGGACACGUUUCUCUGGAGGACGUCCCGGGGGGCCUGGGGGACG